UACGUAGGGACCAAGCGUUGUCCGGAAUCAUUGGGCGUAAAGAGCGUGUAGGCGGCUUGUUAAGUCUUGCGUGAAAUCUCGGGGCUCAACCCCGAGCGGCGUGAGAAACUGGCAGGCUAGAGUGCGGGAGAGGAGAGUGGAAUUCCUGGUGUAGCGGUGAAAUGCGCAGAUAUCGGGAGGAACACCAGUGGCGAAGGCGGCGAUCUGGGAAGAUACUGACGCUCAGGCACGAAAGCGUGGGGAGCAAAAGGG
rnacentral:rRNA from 1 species